GAUCACUGAUAGAAACACCACACAUAGAUCCGCAUAUCAAAGCAAUGCCCUGAUCUCCAACUCACAAAUUCAACAAACAGACAAAGAUAAUAAACAUAAAUAUAUGAAUCAGUGGAAAUUAGAAACCCAAACAAUACAUAGAUUAGAAUUCUAUAGUUUACUGGACAGGGAAUUUAAUUAGCCCAAUAUUUAAGAGAAAUAAAAGAACCUCUUAAAAGACAAACAAUAACUAAAUACAGGCUCAGUGAUCACAGACUGGCUGUAGAAACUGGUCGACAUAGAAGACAGUGGUUAGAGAGAUCUGUGUGAGUGUGUGUGCACUGUGGAACAGGACAGGUGGAAACUGAACUUCAUUUCCUCACUAGCUGCCCCAAAUAUAAAGACAUUAGAGACACCUUCUUUCCCAGAUUUAAUGAUCGAAAUCCCCGGCUUUCUUUCCCUCCCUAAAGAGGAACAGAUGAGAAUCACUCUGGGAGAAGAGAGCUCGACUGUAGAGAUAUCAGUAGAAUAUGUGUUUGCAUGUAAUCGAGUGAGAGAGGGUUCUAUGUAGGUUAAUUAUUCAAAUCAAAUCUAUUCAAAUAACUUUAUUCAUCCAUUAGGAACUUCAUUUGUGUAAAAGAGCAUCAGUGCGCAUACAGCUAAACAUAAAACCAACAGCAGAAACACACACAUACAAAUGGCUCUCUUAAAAGCAUGAUAAAUAGGUCAUAAAUAAUUGUUAUAAGCUGUUAUUGUUAUAUUCAAGGUUCGUCAUGUCACAAUACAUGACUGGUCACAAUAUAAGACAUGUUUACUCAUCUGUAAAUCAUUUUCAUUACUCUUUUAUGUAAUUGUAUUUUUCUUCAUUAUUUAAUUUCAUAUCUAAAUGAUUAUAAUGUGUAUUGUAUAUUUUGCUUUGGCAACAUGUUUAACCCAAACGUCAUGCCAAUAAAGCCAUUUGAAUUGAACAAAAAAUUGAAUUGAAUUGAGAGAGGGGAGAGAGAGGGAGAGAGAGAGAGAGGGGAGAGAGACAGAGGGAGAGAGAGAGAGAGAGAGAGAGAGAGAGAGAGAGAGAGAGAGAGAGUGGGUGAGCAAGCCCCCAGGAAAAUUGUGGUGUGAUUAAAAACUUGAUGAACUGUGUUUGUUGUAAGUGACUUCAUCAGCCGCUCCUCUCGUCAGCUGGAGUCCAUAAAGCCGAACAUCCUGCUCUGUUAAUUAUAAACAGAUUAUUAAGAGUGCUGGAUGUGUGUGUGUGUCUCUGUGUGUGAGUGUGUUCAUGUUGCUCCGUGAUGAUGAUGUUGUGCUCGUCCACACUUCCUUCAAUGAACUUCUCCCCUCAUUGUGUAUCUUUUGGGUGGUUCAGCCUCGAGGGCAUUCGUGGAUUUGUUUUUAAACUUGUGUGUUUUUCUGUUGGCAUGUGGAAGCUGAUGAGAGAUAAUAACAGGCUGUCAGACAAACAGAUGAAAAGUCAGGUGAAACUAUUCCAGUUGGUCCUCAUUCUUAAAUGUAGACAGGCUGAGACAAAGGGGGGAGCAGCAGCUUGUUAUUAAUAACCCUUUGACAAUGUAUAGGAGGCUGUGAGAAGGUCGAGUUCAGGAGAGA